rnacentral:rRNA from 1 species
AGAGUUUGAUCCUGGCUCAGAGCGAACGCUGGCGGCAGGCCUAACACAUGCAAGUCGAGCGCCGUAGCAAUACGGAGCGGCAGACGGGAGAGUAACACGUGGGAACGUACCCUUCAGUACGGAACAACCAAGGGAAACUUUGGCUAAUACCGUAUACGUCCGUAAGGAGAAAGAUUUAUCGCUGAAGGAUCGGCCCGCGUCUGAUUAGCUAGUUGGUGAGGUAACGGCUCACCAAGGCUACGAUCAGUAGCUGGUCUGAGAGGAUGAUCAGCCUCACUGGGACUGAGACACGGCCCAGACUCCUACGGGAGGCAGCAGUGGGGAAUAUUGGACAAUGGGCGCAAGCCUGAUCCAGCCAUGCCGCGUGAGUGAUGAAGGCCCUAGGGUUGUAAAGCUCUUUCGGCGGGGACGAUAAUGACGGUACCCGCAGAAGAAGCCCCGGCUAACUUCGUGCCAGCAGCCGCGGUAAUACGAAGGGGGCUAGCGUUGUUCGGAAUCACUGGGCGUAAAGGGCGCGUAGGCGGCCGUUCAAGUCGGGGGUGAAAGCCUGUGGCUCAACCACAGAAUUGCCUUCGAUACUGUACGGCUCGAGACCGGAAGAGGUAAGUGGAACUGCGAGUGUAGAGGUGAAAUUCGUAGAUAUUCGCAAGAACACCAGUGGCGAAGGCGGCUUACUGGUCCGGUUCUGACGCUGAGGCGCGAAAGCGUGGGGAGCAAACAGGAUUAGAUACCC